rnacentral:rRNA from 1 species
UACGUAGGGUGCAAGCGUUAAUCGGAAUUACUGGGCGUAAAGCGUGCGCAGGCGGUUAUGUAAGACAGGUGUGAAAUCCCCGGGCUUAACCUGGGAACGGCAUUUGUGACUGCAUAGCUAGAGUACGGUAGAGGGGGAUGGAAUUCCGCGUGUAGCAGUGAAAUGCGUAGAUAUGCGGAGGAACACCGAUGGCGAAGGCAAUCCCCUGGACCUGUACUGACGCU